rnacentral:rRNA from 1 species
UAAUACGGAGGGGGCAAGCGUUGUUCGGAAUCAUUGGGCGUAAAGGGCGUGUAGGCGGCCGAUCAAGUCGGGUGUGAAAUCCCUCGGCUCAACCGAGGAAUUGCACUCGAUACUGGUUGGCUAGAGUCCGGGAGGGGGUGGCGGAAUUCCCAGUGUAGCGGUGAAAUGCGUAGAUAUUGGGAAGAACACCGGUAGCGAAGGCGGCCACCUGGACCGGAACUGACGCUGAGGCGCGAAAGCCAGGGGAGCGAAUGGGAUUAGAUACCCCGGUAGUCCUGGCUGUAAACGAUGGGCACUUGGUGUGGCGGGUACUGACCCCCGCCGUGCCGUAGCUAACGCAUUAAGUUCUCCGCCUGGGAAGUACGGUCGCAAGACUA